GGUGAACGCUGGCGGCGUGCCUAAUACAUGCAAGUCGAGCGAACGGACGAGAAGCUUGCUUCUCUGAUGUUAGCGGCGGACGGGUGAGUAACACGUGGAUAACCUACCUAUAAGACUGGGAUAACUUCGGGAAACCGGAGCUAAUACCGGAUAAUAUUUUGAACCGCAUGGUUCAAAAGUGAAAGACGGUCUUGCUGUCACUUAUAGAUGGAUCCGCGCUGCAUUAGCUAGUUGGUAAGGUAACGGCUUACCAAGGCAACGAUGCAUAGCCGACCUGAGAGGGUGAUCGGCCACACUGGAACUGAGACACGGUCCAGACUCCUACGGGAGGCAGCAGUAGGGAAUCUUCCGCAAUGGGCGAAAGCCUGACGGAGCAACGCCGCGUGAGUGAUGAAGGUCUUCGGAUCGUAAAACUCUGUUAUUAGGGAAGAACAUAUGUGUAAGUAACUGUGCACAUCUUGACGGUACCUAAUCAGAGAGCCACGGCUAACUACGUGCCAGCAGCCGCGGUAAUACGUAGGUGGCAAGCGUUAUCCGGAAUUAUUGGGCGUAAAGCGCGCGUAGGCGGUUUUUUAAGUCUGAUGUGAAAGCCCACGGCUCAACCGUGGAGGGUCAUUGGAAACUGGAAAACUUGAGUGCAGAAGAGGAAAGUGGAAUUCCAUGUGUAGCGGUGAAAUGCGCAGAGAUAUGGAGGAACACCAGUGGCGAAGGCGACUUUCUGGUCUGUAACUGACGCUGAUGUGCGAAAGCGUGGGGAUCAAACAGGAUUAGAUACCCUGGUAGUCCACGCCGUAAACGAUGAGUGCUAAGUGUUAGGGGGUUUCCGCCCCUUAGUGCUGCAGCUAACGCAUUAAGCACUCCGCCUGGGGAGUACGACCGCAAGGUUGAAACUCAAAGGAAUUGACGGGGACCCGCACAAGCGGUGGAGCAUGUGGUUUAAUUCGAAGCAACGCGAAGAACCUUACCAAAUCUUGACAUCCUUUGACAACUCUAGAGAUAGAGCCUUCCCCUUCGGGGGACAAAGUGACAGGUGGUGCAUGGUUGUCGUCAGCUCGUGUCGUGAGAUGUUGGGUUAAGUCCCGCAACGAGCGCAACCCUUAAGCUUAGUUGCCAUCAUUAAGUUGGGCACUCUAAGUUGACUGCCGGUGACAAACCGGAGGAAGGUGGGGAUGACGUCAAAUCAUCAUGCCCCUUAUGAUUUGGGCUACACACGUGCUACAAUGGACAAUACAAAGGGCAGCGAAACCGCGAGGUCAAGCAAAUCCCAUAAAGUUGUUCUCAGUUCGGAUUGUAGUCUGCAACUCGACUACAUGAAGCUGGAAUCGCUAGUAAUCGUAGACCAGCAUGCUACGGUGAAUACGUUCCCGGGUCU
rnacentral:rRNA from 1 species